rnacentral:rRNA from 1 species
AGCGAACGCUGGCGGCAGGCUUAACACAUGCAAGUCGAGCGGGCGUAGCAAUACGUCAGCGGCAGACGGGUGAGUAACGCGUGGGAACGUACCUUUUGGUUCGGAACAACACAGGGAAACUUUUGCUAAUACCGGAUAAACCCUUACGGGGAAAGAUGUAUCGCCGAAAGAUCGGCCCGCGUCUGAUUAGCUAGUUGGUGAGGUAAUGGCUCACCAAGGCGACGAUCAGUAGCUGGUCUGAGAGGACGAUCAGCCACAUUGGGACUGAGACACGGGCCAAACUCCUACGGGAGGCAGCAGUGGGGAAUAUUGGACAAUGGGGGCAACCCUGAUCCAGCCAUGCCGCGUGAGUGAUGAAGGCCCUAGGGUUGUAAAGCUCUUUUGUGCGGGAAGAUAAUGACGGUACCGGAAGAAUAAGCCCCGGCUAACUUCGUGCCAGCCGCCGCGGUAAUAC